GACGAACGCUGGCGGCGUGCCUAAUACAUGCAAGUUGAGCGCUGAAGGUUGGUACUUGUGCCGACUGGUUGAGCAGCGAACGGGUGAGUAACGCGUGGGGAAUCUGCCUUUGAGCGGGGGACAACAUUUGGAGACGAAUGCUAAUACCGCAUAAAAACUUUAAACACAAUUUUUAAGUUUGAAAGAUGCAAUUGCAUCACUCAAAGAUGAUCCCGCGUUGUAUUGGCUAGUUGGUGAGGGAAAGGCUCACCAAGGCGAGGAUACAUAGCCGACCUGAGAGGGGGAGCGGCCACAUUGGGACUGGGACACGGCCCAAACUACUGCGGGUGGCAGCCGGAGGGGAUCCUCGGGAAUGGAAGAAAGUCGGACCGAGCAACGCCGCGUGAGUGAAUAAGGUUUUCGGAUCGUAAAAGUCAGUAGGUAGAGAAGAAUGUUGGUGAGAGUGGAAAGCGCAUCAAGUGACGGUAACUACCCAGAAAGGGACGGCUAACUACGUG
rnacentral:rRNA from 1 species